rnacentral:rRNA from 1 species
UGAGGAAUCUUGCGCAAUGGGGGAAACCCUGACGCAGCAACGCCGCGUGAGUGAGGAAGGCCUUCGGGUCGUAAAGCUCUGUCAGAUGGGAAGAAAUGGGUGGGGGCUAAUAUCGUCCAUCCUUGACGGUACCAUCAGAGGAAGCACCGGCUAACUCCGUGCCAGCAGCCGCGGUAAUACGGGGGGUGCAAGCGUUGUUCGGAAUCAUUGGGCGUAAAGCGCGCGCAGGCGGCUUGGUAAGUCAGAUGUGAAAUCCCUGGGCUUAACCCAGGAAGUGCAUUUGAGACUGCCUAGCUAGAGGACGGGAGAGGAAAGGGGAAUUCCUGGUGUAGAGGUGAAAUUCGUAGAUAUCAGGAGGAACACCGGUGGCGAAGGCGACUUUCUGGCCCGAUACUGACGCUCAGGCGCGAAAGCGUGGGGAGCAAACA